CGUUGGGAUACUUCAUUGCAGCAAGAACACAGGAAUACCAGAAUGAAAAGUAUGACCUGGAAACUGGCGAGUCAUUGGAGGAAAUCGGCGGGCUGUUCUUACAAAGCUGAUAAUCUUUGGAGCGUUCCAAGGCAGACAACCCUGGUCGACGCUUGCUAUGUCAAAGGCAGUCCGUGCUGUGGGCAGAGCGGAGCAAGACCAACGCAGAGUGCUGCUGGCAGCCCCCUCCAGAAAUAACAGAGGGAAAAAGGUGAGAGAACAACCAGAACAUCUAAAGGGAACCUUUCCAGACACAGGAGCAGAGGCAUGCCAGAAAGAGAAGAGA